UUGUAGAUAUUUGCCAUUGCACUUUUCACAACCUGCUGCAAAUACUUACGAGUCUAUCACCACAUGGAACCACAGAGAAGUCAUCAUUCAAGAUCCGAAAUGAAGAAAAAAAAAGGAAGAAAAAGGAAAGAAAACAGAGCCAACUAUUUAUUCGCCAAGCUCCGUGAAGCAGGAGAGUUAAAUGGAGAAAGUGAGAAGAAUCACCAUUCCUACAUUUUUCAAUUUUUCUGUAUGGUGACACUGCUGCCUGCAAUUCCCCAGGGAUGAGAUAUUGCUUUUCAAUUUCUAUUUUCGUACAAAUAUAGAUGCAUCUUGCUCUGUCACCCAGGAUGAAUAAUAAGACAAUCACAGGACUGGAGCCUACCCUAAAGAGCUAGAUGACCCAGUUCUUUACUGCUAGGCAGGUUUGUACCUUCAGAAUCCAAGAAGAAUGGCUGUCAUCUCACCCUGAAUAUGAUUUGUCUCAAAUGAUCAGACCUUCAGAAAUAUGUUAAAUC
rnacentral:lncRNA from 10 species